rnacentral:rRNA from 1 species
GACGUAGGGCGCGAGCGUUGUCCGGAUUUAUUGGGCGUAAAGAGCUCGUAGGCGGCUCGUUGCGUCGGCUGUGAAAACCCGCAGCUCAACUGUGGGCUUGCAGCUGAUACGGGCGGGCUGGGAUUCGGUAGGGGAGACUGGAAUUCCUGGUGUAGCGGUGAAAUGCGCAGAUAUCAGGAGGAACACCGGGUGGCGAAGGCGGGGUCUCUGGGCCGUAACUGACGCUGAGGAGCGAAAGCAUGGGGAGCGAACAGG